rnacentral:rRNA from 1 species
UACGUAGGGUGCAAGCGUUGUCCGGAAUUAUUGGGCGUAAAGAGCUCAUAGGCGGUCUGUCACGUCGGAUGUGAAAAUCCAGGGCUUAACCCUGGACCUGCAUUCGAUACGGGCAGACUAGAGUUCGGUAGGGGAGACUGGAAUUCCUGGUGUAGCGGUGAAAUGCGCAGAUAUCAGGAGGAACACCGGUGGCGAAGGCGGGUCUCUGGGCCGAAACUGACGCUGAGGCGCGAAAGCUAGGGGAGCAAACGGG